GACGAACGCUGGCGGCGUGCCUAAUACAUGCAAGUCGAACGCAGUGGGGACGGGUGAGUAACACGUGGGUAACCUCCCAUCAGAGGGGAUAACACUUGGAAAUAGGUGCUAAACCGAUACUGAUGGAUGGACCCGCGGUGCAUUCGCUAGUUGGUGAGGUAACGGCUCACCAAGGCCACGAUGCAUAGCCGGCCUGGGAGGGAGAGCGGACACACUGGGACUGCAACACGGUCCAGACUCCUACGUGAGGCAGCAGGAGGGGAUCUUCGGCAAUGGACGAAAGUCUGACCGAGCAGCGCCGCGUGAGUGAAGAAUGUUUUCGGAUCGUAAAGCUCUGUUGUUAGAGAAGCGGUAUCUAACCAGAAAGCCACGGCUAACUAGGUGCCAGCAGCCGCGGUAAUUC
rnacentral:rRNA from 1 species